GCUGCAUUAUUUGUACGUUAGCGACAGAAGAAGACACCGGCUAACUCCGUGCCAGCAGCCGCGGAAGUUACGGAGGGUGCGAGCGUUAAUACGGAAUUACUGGGCGUAAAGACGCAUGCAGGUGGUUUGGUUUAAGUUACAGAUGUGAAAGACCCGGGGCUCAACCUCGGAAUAGCAUUUGAAACUAGGCAGACUAGAGUACUGUAGAGGGGGGUAGGAAGUUUCAGGUGUAGCGGUGAAAUGCGUAGAGAUCUGAAGGAAUACCGGUGGCGAAGGCGGCCCCCUCGGACAGAUACUGACACUCAGAUGCGAAAGCGUGGGGAGCAAACAGGAUUAGAUACCCUGGUAG
rnacentral:rRNA from 1 species